rnacentral:rRNA from 1 species
UACGUAGGGUGCGAGCGUUAUCCGGAAUCAUUGGGCGUAAAGAGCUCGUAGGCGGUUCAACAAGUCGGCUGUGAAAGUCCGGGGCUCAACCCCGGAAUUGCAGUCGAUACUGUUGUGACUUGAGUCCGGUAGAGGAGAAUGGAAUUCCCGGUGUAGCGGUGGAAUGCGCAGAUAUCGGGAGAAACACCAGUAGCGAAGGCGGUUCUCUGGGCCGGCACUGACGCUGAGGAGCGAAAGCGUGGGGAGCAAACAGGAUUAGAUACCCUGGUA